GACGAACGCUGGCGGCGUGCUUAACACAUGCAAGUCGAACGAGGUCCACUGCGUAGCAAUACAAAGGAAGACCUAGUGGCGAACGGGUGCGUAACACGUGAGGAACUUGUCCCGGUCUCUGGGAUAACAGUUGGAAACGACUGCUAAUACCGGAUGACGUCGGAAGCUCGCAUGGGCUACUGACGAAAGGGUUACUGGAUCGGGAGAGCCUCGCGGCCUAUCAGCUUGUUGGUGAGGUAACGGCUCACCAAGGCAUCGACGGGUAGCUGGUCUGAGAGGAUGAUCAGCCACACUGGGACUGAGACACGGCCCAGACUCCUACGGGAGGCAGCAGUGGGGAAUCUUGCGCAAUGGGCGAAAGCCUGACGCAGCAACGCCGCGUGCGGGAAGAAGGCCUUCGGGUUGUAAACCGCUUUCAGAAGGAACGAAAAUGACGGUACUUUCAGAAGAAGGUGCGGCCAACUACGUGCCAGCAGCCGCAGUAACAC
rnacentral:rRNA from 1 species